GAUCAUGGCUCAGGAUGAACGCUGGCGGCGUGCUUAACACAUGCAAGUCGAACGAGAAUCACAUGAAGGAGUUUUCGAACAACAGAUUGUGAGGAAAGUGGCGGACGGGUGAGUAACGCGUGAGCAAUCUGCCUUGGAGUGGGGAAUAACAGCUGGAAACAGCUGCUAAUACCGCAUGAUGCAAGUGUCUCGCAUGGGACUGCUUGCCAAAGAUUUA
rnacentral:rRNA from 1 species